rnacentral:rRNA from 1 species
UACGUAGGGAGCAAGCGUUGUCCGGAAUCAUUGGGCGUAAAGCGCGCGUAGGUGGCCUCAUAAGUCCGCUGUGAAAGUCAAAGGCUCAACCUUUGAAAGCCGGUGGAUACUGUGAGGCUAGAGUACGGAAGAGGCGAGUGGAAUUCCUGGUGUAGCGGUGGAAUGCGUAGAUAUUGGGAGGAACACCAGUGGCGAAGGCGGCUCACUGGACCGGUACUGACGCUGAUGCGCGAAAGCGUGGGGAGCAAACGGG